GCGUUGUCCGGAUUUAUUGGGUUUAAAGGGUGCGUAGGCGGCGGGACAAGCGUGCGGUGAAAGCUCGGGGCUCAACCCCGCGUCGGCCGUGCGAACUGUUUUGCUUGAGCACUGUAGAGGCAGGCGGAAUUCCGGGUGUAGCGGUGGAAUGCGUAGAGAUCCGGAAGAACACCGGUGGCGAAGGCGGCCUGCUGGGCAGUAGCUGACACUGAGGCGCGACAGCGUG
rnacentral:rRNA from 1 species